rnacentral:rRNA from 1 species
CGGAGGAUCCGAGCGUUAUCCGGAUUUAUUGAGUUUAAAGGGUGCGUAGGCGGCCUGUUAAGUCAGGGGUGAAAGACGGUAGCUCAACUAUCGCAGUGCCCUUGAUACUGAUGGGCUUGAAUGUACUAGAGGUAGGCGGAAUGUGACAAGUAGCGGUGAAAUGCAUAGAUAUGUCACAGAACACCAAUUGCGAAGGCAGCUUACUAUGGUAUUAUUGACGCUGAGGCACGAAAGCGUGGGGAUCAAACAGGAUUAGAUACCCUGGUAGUCCACGCCCUAAACGAUGAAUACUCGAUGUUAGCGAUAUACAGUUAGCGUCAAAGCGAAAGCGUUAAGUAUUCCACCUGGGGAGUACGCCCGCAAGGGUG